UGCACACGCUUGUGAGAAAAUAGGGGAUCUUUGAUACAAACUCGCAAAUGGUUCGAGCCUAACCCUGAGCUCUGCCAUUGUCGACUUCUUUUUCUUCGUUCUUGCUCUGCCAUUGUCGACCUGUGUACACAUCUCUCUUCUUCUUCGUCUUCUUGCUCUGCCAUUGUCGACCUGCGUAUACCAUCAAAGGUGACUUGCUACGAUCGAAGGUUUGAAGACUUGCGAACAAACAGCUUUGUAUUACGACCAUUUGCAUAUUUUUUGGGUUCAUUUACCACAGGUCACUCCUAUCACUGCAAGUAAUUCCAUACUUGUAUUAUUUGCUUAUUUAACACAAAAUUUAAAAUGAUUCUAGCACUUUGAUAGUAACUAAUGAUCUGAUUAUUAUAUAGAUGGCAAAUAGUGUAGUCAAUACCACAUCAUUUGACGAUGGACCCAUUAUUAAUGCAAAUUGGACUCUUGCGCAAGAAAAUAUUUUCAUAGAUUUACUAGUACUUCAAGUAGAGUGGGGGAAUGGUUUCUGGGUGUCUGAAACCAAGUGGUUGGAAGGAGGUUCAACAAAGUUUUUUUGCACAAGUUGGGUUGAAGUUCAACACUAAAUCCUUCAGUAACAAAAUACAAGAUCUAAAAAGUAGGUAUAAGGAGUUUAGGAAAUUAAGAUUCGAACAAACGGGAUUUGGUUGGGACAAGGAGAAGCAUAUGGUUGUAGCCUCCCCAGAGACAUGGGAGAAUUAUUUAUUGGUAUUUUCUGAACUUUGAAGUUAUUUAGAGAUCAUAUUUGUUUGGGACUUUAUAUGUAUGUAAAUGUAUAUAUUGAUUGGUGUCCCCUUAUCUUUUUAGGUUAAUCUCAAGGCAAAAAGUUUUCGUAAUAUGGGUUGUCCAGAGUAUAACAACCUUGAAAUUAUAUUUGGGGGUACCACACCUACAGGAAGGUUCUUUGCAUCUCUGGCACAUGGAAUAGAAUCUCCACCCUAGGAGGACGGGCAUGCCCCCCAAUGAUCCACACCUUGAAGAAGUUCAACAACCAUCACUUGGCAUUGUUGAUUCAGCCAAUAUUGAUGGUGAUCAAAUUUCUACUACAACCAUAAAGCAAAAUGCUUGUAGGAAGAAGCCAUCUGAAUUUUUUGUUGCAAUUUCAGAACAAAAUGUGUCAGUAGAUAAGAGAUUUGAGAAGUUGGUGGAAGCAUUUAAGGGACUGAAUAAAAAGCCGGAGAAUCAUGUCUCUAUGAGCAAUGUUUUAGCAGAGUUGAAUUCUAUUGAAGGGAUGAAUCAUAAUGACUACCUAAAACUUUAUUAAGUGUUUGAGAAGCCAGAUGCAAGAGAGUGGUUCAUAAACAUGCAUGUUAUUCUUAGGAAGAAUUGGGUGUUUGGUGUCUUUAAUUGUUAGAUUCGUGAAUGUUAUGUUCUCAUCUAUGAACCCUUUCUUUUAAUGUUUUAGGUGAACAAUUGUUUAUAAUUGUUAUAACUUCUUAAACUACUUCACAGGUGUAGGAUUGAAUAAUGGUUUCAGUAGAUACAAUUCAUAUGGUAUUAUAUGGUUUUGUGGAUUGCUUAUUGAUUAUUGUUUGGAUGGUUUAAUGAAUAGGGUAGCACAUUUGGUCCUUAAUUUAUGAAGUGCAGGUUUGCAAUUAAUUAAAUAUAAAGCUUUAUGUGUAUAUGUAAUUGUUGUGUCAGAUUUACAAUGGUUGAUAGUUCGACCAAGAGGGUAGUGUUGCAAGCAAUUUUGGCCGUUUUUGUAGAUGAUGAAGAGCAGCGAAUGGUGACAAAUGUCCUCAUUGUGAAGGAACUUGAGAAGGAAGAAAUGUAUCUCUCCAAGACACCUUACCACAAUGACAUUUUGAUCGGGUCAGAGUUGUUGAAAAAUGUUAUAUGCAAUGAAGGUAAUAAGUGUUUGGAAAUGUUUGGAAUGACCAUAAAAGCAUUUGUUAGCCUAGUAAGUGCAUUGAGACAAAGAGGGUUAGUGAAAGAUAGUAGAUAUGUAUCAGCUGAUGAGCAGGUUGGAAUUCUUUUAAAGAUUAUAGGACACAACAAAGCAAAUAAAGAUACUGCAUACCACUUUCAACACUUUGGGAAAACCAUUUCACGACACUUUAAUUCCGCAUUGAAAGCAACUUGUGAAUUUGGCAAGGAAAUUGUACGAUCUGAUGAUCUAACUAUUGUACCACCUGAGAUACUCAACAAUCCAAAAUAUUAUCCAUGGUUCGAGGUAUCUCAUACUAUAUGAUAGGAGGGUGCUGCACAUGAUUCAAGAGUUUUUUUGGAGACAGUUCAAAACCCCGAUAAUAUGUUCCCGCUACCACCAGAAGGAAAAUAUUACGUAAUUGACUCGGAUUAUACAAAUAUGCUUGGAUCUCUGUCUCUAUAUGGAUCAGAGAGAUACCAUUUAAGGGACUUUCAAGGAAGAGGUGGUCGACCAAAGAAUGCCGAAGAAUAAUUAUGUUCAUUCUUCAUUGAGGAAUGUCAUAGAGCGUUGCUUCGAUGCUCUUAAGGCAAAAUUCCCAAUACUAAAGUUGAUGCUUCCAUACUCACUUCACAAGCAAAUCAGAAUUGUAUUUGCUUGUUGUGUGUUACAUAAUUUCAUUCGAUUAUCGAGAAUCCAAGAUGUGUUUUGGAAUGGUUUCUUUCAAGAUGGUGUUCAUUCAUGUGCUUGUUGGAAAUUUCACAAUUCAUUUGUUAGGAUAUAUACAACUUUAUUGUGAUGUGAUGUUCAAUUGUUUUGUUAUUUAGUCAUAGCAACAAAUCGAAGGGGACCGAUGUGUCCAUGUGGGCGUGGAUGUAUAAAAUUGUGGAUGGCAAAAAUCGAAAAAAAUUACGGAAGAUGAUUUUAUAAAUGUCCAACUGGAGAGGUAUAAGUCCAAUACCCAAAAACCAUAUUGAUCAAUAUUUGUGUUUAAUAUAAAUUGAAAAUUAUUAACAUUUUUUUCUUCCAGCCACAUGAAUAUGACUUCAUGUGGGCAGAUAACUACACUCUGGAAGAAUAAAAAAUCCACAUCUUUGAACAACAUAAUAAUGCUCAUGAACAUGCAAAUUAUAAGAAAGAGCGGGUUGUUGCAAUUGGGGCUUGUGUUUGUUGUUGUGCCAUGAUGUGUUUGAUCAUUUUUUUUUUAUAAUUUUGAUUUUCAUUUUGUUAGUUUGGAGGUAGGAUAGAUACCACUAGAAGUAUGGUUAGUAUGUCCCUAUCAUGAAUUGGUGUAUGGUUUUUCCAUUUUGGAUAUGCUUUGUAGUUGCGUAAUACUAAAGUUGUAUUUAUGUUAUUAACAUGUACAAAAAAUUUGAAUGUGUAAGUGGGCCCGACCAAUGGUAUAUACAUAUGGGGCCCACAUUAUGUAUUAUGCAUAUGUUGAAAUGUAUGUGGGGCUCACAUUGAAAAAAUAUUUAUGAACUCCAUAAUAAAGGGUGUACAUAGUUGAAAUUGCAUGUGAGACCCACAUUAAUGCAUUAUGCAUAUGUUGAAAUGUAUGUGGGGCCCACAUUGAAAAAUAUUUAUGAACUCUAUAAUAAAGGGUGUACAUAGUUGGAAUUGCAUGUGGGACCCACAUUAAUGCAUUUUGCAUAUGUUGAAUUGUAUGUGGGGCCCACAUUGAAAAAAAUAUUUAUGAACUCCAUAAUGAAAGGUGUACAUAGUUGGAAUUGCAUGUGGGGCCCACAUUAAUGCAUUAUGCAUAUGUACACAUGUAUAUGAGGCCCACCUUAAAAAAUAUGUAUAGGCUUCAAAAUGAAUGAUAUGCAUAAGUGGACUUACAUGUGGGGCCCACAUUAAUGCAUUAUGCAUAUGUUGAAAUGUACAUGGGGCCCACAUUGAAAAAAUAUUUAUGGACUCCAUUAUGAAGGGUGUACAUAGUUGGAAUUGCAUGUAGGGCCCAUAUUAGUGCAUCAUGCAUAUGUUGAAAUGUAUGUGGGGCCCACAUUGAAAAAAUAUUUAUGAUCUCCAUAAUGAACGGUGUGCAUAGCUGGAAUUGUGUGUGGGGCCAACAUAAAUGCAUUAUGCAUAUGUUGAAAUGUAUGUGGGGUCCAUCUUGAAAAAAUAUUUGUGGACCCCAUAGUGAAGGAUAUACAUAUGUGGACUUAAUGUGGGGCUUGUUUAUGGUAAGUGCAUGGGGGCCCACAAUUAUGAAAUGUAUGUUUAGACCUAUAUGUGGGUCCCACAUGUGUUAAAUGAAUGGUUUGUUGGCCCAUACAUGAGGCAUUCAUAUAUACAUAACACAUAUUUUCAUCACAUUACCAAAUGGUCUUCCAGCUUUGAUGGUCUUUCCGGAGAUCUAUGAAAAAUGUUUCAACCAAACAGUCUUCCAGUUUUGAUGGUCUUUCCGGAGAUCUAUGAAAAAUGUUUCAACCAAACAGUCUUUGGUUUUCCAAUUGAGCUUGAUUUGUGUGCAUAAUUUACAUGUAAAUUCUGGUGUUUAUGCAUGAUUUUGAUGCUGAUUUGUGUGAAUUCUUACCCCAAUUGAACUUGAUU